ACAUACACGAGAGACAUGACUUUAUAAUUUAUAACAGUAAGUUAAUUUUGUGGAUUAAUAGAAAUUGAAUCACAAAAUUCUCAAUGGCUAUAAAUAAGAGACUUAAUUGAGCAAGGAAAUACAAGUAAACAUAUAAUUCACUCUAUAUCUUAAGGCAAAUAAAUUAAACUAUGGCUGGAAAAAAUAUUUCUUUCCUUUUUGCUGCUCUUCUUGUGGCCAUUACAAUUACCUCUCCAACUAUGCAAGUGAUGGCAUUGAGAAACUUACCAGAAAAUGUGGAGGUUGUUGGACUAAAUUAUGUAUUGAUGAUCCCAAACAUUAAUCCAAGGCUCCAAACUUGUCUGAGACCUUGCAGAGUUGAUGCUGAUUGUUCUAAAGAUUGUUGGAUUUGUUGUCAAUGUAAUGGAGUUACUUGCUAUUAAUCGAUCGAUUAUCAUCAUAAUUUCAUAUCUCUUACUUAGAGAAUGAAAUGAAUGUACGUCCGUACGUACGUAUGUACGUGUGAUAUUUCAUAUUAAAACUAUGUUGUUGUUUGUUUUUUCAUGAACAUCAUGUCACUUGUAAGGUACACUACCUACUAGAAUAAGUGACUAAGUUAUCCCGUUGAAUAAGUAUGUACGUACGUAUGUAUUGUGGGUGUAUGUUCUGUAUUGUAUUGUAUGAAUCUAUUUGUGUUUUAUUCCUCCUUUU